UACAGAGGGGGCAAGCGUUGUUCGGAAUUACUGGGCGUAAAGGGCGCGUAGGCGGCCUGUUAAGUCAGACGUGAAAUCCCUCGGCUCAACCGGGGAACUGCGUCUGAUACUGGCGGGCUUGAAUUCGGGAGAGGGAUGUGGAAUUCCGGGUGUAGCGGUGAAAUGCGUAGAUAUCCGGAGGAACACCGGUGGCGAAGGCGGCUUCCUGGACCGACACUGACGCUGAGGCGCGAAAGCUAGGGGAGCAAACGGG
rnacentral:rRNA from 1 species